AACGUAGGAGACAAACGUUAUCCGGAGUUACUGGGCGUAAAGGGCGUGUAGGUGGUUUCGUAAGUCUGGCGUGAAAUUUCUCGGCUUAACCGAGGCAGGUCGUCGGAUACUGCGGAACUUGAGGACGGUAGAGGCGUGUGGAAUUCCGGGUGUAGUGGUGAAAUGCGUAGAGAUCCGGAGGAACACCAGUGGCGAAGGCGACACGCUGGGCCGUACCUGACACUGAUGCGCGACAGCGUGGGGAGCAAACAGG
rnacentral:rRNA from 1 species